GGGGGGUAGAAUUUCAGGUGUAGCGGUGAAAUGCGUAGAGAUCUGAAGGAAUACCGGUGGCGAAGGCGGCCCCCCUGGACAGAUACUGACACUCAGAUGCGAAAGCGUGGGGAGCAAACAGGAUUAGAUACCCUGGUAGUCCACGCCGUAAACGAUGUCUACUUGGAGGUUGUGGCCUUGAGCCGUGGCUUUCGGAGCUAACGCGUUAAGUAGACCGCCUGGGGAGUACGGUCGCAAGAUUAAAACUCAAAUGAAUUGACGGGGGCCCGCACAAGCGGUGGAGCAUGUGGUUUAAUUCGAUGCAACGCGAAGAACCUUACCUACUCUUGACAUCUACAGAAGCCAGCGGAGACGCAGGUGUGCCUUCGGGAACUGUAAGACAGGUGCUGCAUGGCUGUCGUCAGCUCGUGUUGUGAAAUGUUGGGUUAAGUCCCGCAACGAGCGCAACCCUUAUCCUUGUUUGCCAGCACUUCGGGUGGGAACUCCAGGGAGACUGCCGGUGAUAAACCGGAGGAAGGUGGGGACGACGUCAAGUCAUCAUGGCCCUUACGAGUAGGGCUACACACGUGCUACAAUGGCGCAUACAGAGGGCGGCCAACUUGCGAAAGUGAGCGAAUCCCAAAAAGUGCGUCGUAGUCCGGAUUGGAGUCUGCAACUCGACUCCAUGAAGUCGGAAUCGCUAGUAAUCGUGGAUCAGAAUGCCACGGUGAAUACGUUCCCGGGCCUUGUACACACCGCCCGUCACACCAUGGGAGUGGGCUGCAAAAGAAGUGGGUAGUUUAACCUUCGGGAGGACGCUCACCACUUUGUGGUUCAUGACUGGGGUGAAGUCGUAACAAGGUAACCG
rnacentral:rRNA from 1 species